UACGUAGGGGGCGAAUGUUACUCGGAAUUACUGGGCGUAAAGGGCCUGUAGGCGGUCAUACAAGUUAGCUGUUAAAGACCUAUGCUCAACGUAGGGAGAGCAGCUAAUACUGUAUAGCUAGAGUACAGCAAGGGAUGGUGGAAUUCCCGGUGUAGGGGUGAAAUCUGUAGAGAUCGGGAGGAAUACCGAUGGCGAAGGAGACCAUCGAGGCUGAUAAUGACGCUGAGGGGCGAAAGCCAGGGGAGCAAACGGG
rnacentral:rRNA from 1 species